AUGGGCGGAGUCCAGCAUCUGCUCAAGCUGAGGAUGGCGUCCCCCCACGCCCACCCCGCCACGCGGCCCCUCUCCGCGCUCCCGUCCCUCCUCCUAGCCCGCUCCUCCUCCGCCGCCGCCACCGCCGCGUCGUCCGCCCGACCCGCCUCCCUCUCCCUCCCCCUCUCGUGCUCGCGGCCGCGGGCGCGGGCCUACUGCCCAGCCAGACGACGGUUGCCGGGCUCCGUGGUGGCGAUGUCUUCGUCGGCGCCCACGCCGGGGCCCGUGCAGAAGUCGGAGGAGGAGUGGGAGGCCGUCCUCACGCCGGAGCAGUUCCGCAUCCUCCGCCGCAAGGGCACCGAGUUUCCUGGAACAGGUGAAUAUGACAAGUUCUUCGAUGAGGGUAUUUACGGAUGUGCUGGCUGCGGAACCCCCUUGUACAAAUCAUCUACGAAGUUCAACUCAGGGUGUGGUUGGCCAGCAUUCUAUGAAGGAUUUCCUGGAGCCAUAAAACGGACGGCGGAUCCUGAUGGGAGGCGCAUUGAGAUCACAUGUGCUGCUUGUGAAGGACAUCUGGGGCAUGUGUUCAAAGGGGAGGGGUUCAACACGCCGACUGAUGAGCGACACUGCGUCAACAGUAUCUCACUCAAGUUCGUUCCGGCCUCUGAAGAGGCUAGUUGA
rnacentral:rRNA from 1 species